rnacentral:rRNA from 1 species
UACGGGGGGGGCAAGCGUUGUUCGGAAUUACUGGGCGUAAAGGGCUCGUAGGCGGCCAACUAAGUCGGACGUGAAAUCCCUCGGCUCAACCGGGGAACUGCGUCCGAUACUGGAUGGCUUGAGUUCGGGAGAGGGAUGCGGAAUUCCAGGUGUAGCGGUGAAAUGCGUAGAUAUCUGGAGGAACACCGGUGGCGAAGGCGGCAUCCUGGACCGGUAUUGACGCUGAGGCGCGAAAGCUAGGGGAGCAAACGGG